GAGUUUGAUCAUGGCUCAGGAUGAACGCUAGCGGCAGGCUUAACACAUGCAAGUCGAGGGGUAGUAUAGCAAUAUAUGAGACCGGCGCACGGGUGCGUAACGCGUAUGCAAUCUACCUUUUACAGGGGAAUAGCCCAGAGAAAUUUGGAUUAAUGCCCCAUGGUAUAAUUGAUUGGCAUCAAUUAAUUAUUAAAGUUCCAACGGUAAAAGAUGAGCAUGCGUCCCAUUAGCUAGUUGGUAUGGUAACGGCAUACCAAGGCGAUGAUGGGUAGGGGUCCUGAGAGGGAGAUCCCCCACACUGGUACUGAGACACGGACCAGACUCCUACGGGAGGCAGCAGUGAGGAAUAUUGGACAAUGGGCGCAAGCCUGAUCCAGCCAUGCCGCGUGCAGGAAGAAGCAUCUAUGGUGUGUAAACUGCUUUUAUACAGGAAGAAACACUCCCUCGUGAGGGAGCUUGACGGUACUGUAAGAAUAAGGACCGGCUAACUCCGUGCCAGCAGCCGCGGUAAUACGGAGGGUCCAAGCGUUAUCCGGAAUCAUUGGGUUUAAAGGGUCCGUAGGCGGUUUAAUAAGUCAGUGGUGAAAGCCCAUCGCUCAACGAUGGAACGGCCAUUGAUACUGUUAGACUUGAAUUAUUAGGAAGUAACUAGAAUAUGUAGUGUAGCGGUGAAAUGCUUAGAUAUUACAUGGAAUACCAAUUGCGAAGGCAGGUUACUACUAAUGGAUGACGCUGAUGGA
rnacentral:rRNA from 1 species